UGAUCUCUCUUUUUGCAGGAAUACCCGCUAUCCUGAAGGGAAUCCCUAUGCGCAUAAACAUAUCAAUAAGCGGGAGGAAAUAAGCGGGAGGAAAUGGUUUUAUCCCCCCUCCACCCUCCCACCUUUUUUUACGGUUUUAGAAUUGAUACCGCCGCCCGAUGUCGGGGCCCUCUGAGUGUGCGUCCCCUGUCCCACCCCGAAAAAACAUAAAAUCUAAUCGAUCCAUGAAGGCCGGAGGAGAGUGUCUUGCCAGCGGAUUUUAACUAUUGAAGACGGGCCCCAGAAGCGUCCCGCUAUCAUGCAACUAAAACCAUGGCCCUGCUAACACCUCAGGGGGAAAGUCCUUACCGUCGCUGUUCAGCUCGGCUAUUAAACCCGUAUCGUAACUCGGGGCGGUUCUCUGUGGAUUUGCCUUUUCAAUCCACUUUUGUCAGCGUUAGUAGGCUGUGAUUGCAAGUCUCGCCC
rnacentral:rRNA from 1 species